rnacentral:rRNA from 1 species
CUUUUAUCAAAGAGUGACGGGCGAUUUGUGCAUGCAAAAUUUCUUAUUUAAAACAAAAUUUUAUUUUAUUAAUUUAAUCUUAAGUCCAAUUUCUAAAUUUAUCUUUUUAAUUUUCCAAUCAGAGAUUUAUUUCUAUGUAUCCCGCUUAUUCUUUCAAUAUUUUCUCUGUCUUGAUUUGUUUUUUAAAUUUUAUUUUAUAAUUAAACUUUAUUAUCUAAUUUUUAAACAAUGAUAUGGAGGAUUAUAAUUUCAGUUAAUUUAAUCGUGGGUUGUCUAUUACAUAGUAGGAUCCCCUAAAAAGAUUUCACACCGCCAUUUUUCUUAGAUUUUUCUUAUUUAGAUACUAUCUAAAUUUAUUAUAAAA